rnacentral:piRNA from 1 species
UGAGGUGAUGACUGAAUGGAUGCUGU